UCACACUAUCAUUAACUGAAUCCAUAGGUUAAUGAGGCGAACCGGGGGAACUGAAACAUCUAAGUACCCCGAGGAAAAGAAAUCAACCGAGAUUCCCCCAGUAGCGGCGAGCGAACGGGGAGGAGCCCAGAGCCUGAAUCAGCAUGUGUGUUAGUGGAAGCGUCUGGAAAGGCGCGCGAUACAGGGUGACAGCCCCGUACACAAAAGCGCAUGUGCUGUGAGCUCGAUGAGUAGGGCGGGACACGUGGUAUCCUGUCUGAAUAUGGGGGGACCAUCCUCCAAGGCUAAAUACUCCUGACUGACCGAUAGUGAACCAGUACCGUGAGGGAAAGGCGAAAAGAACCCCGGCGAGGGGAGUGAAAAAGAACCUGAAACCGUGUACGUACAAGCAGUGGGAGCACCCUUUGGGGUGUGACUGCGUACCUUUUGUAUAAUGGGUCAGCGACUUAUAUUCUGUAGCAAGGUUAACCGAAUAGGGGAGCCGGAGGGAAACCGAGUCUUAACCGGGCGUUAAGUUGCAGGGUAUAGACCCGAAACCCGGUGAUCUAGCCAUGGGCAGGUUGAAGGUUGGGUAACACUAACUGGAGGACCGAACCGACUAAUGUUGAAAAAUUAGCGGAUGACCUGUGGCUGGGGGUGAAAGGCCAAUCAAACCGGGAGAUAGCUGGUUCUCCCCGAAAGCUAUUUAGGUAGCGCCUCGUGAAUUCAUCUCCGGGGGUAGAGCACUGUUUCGGCUAGGGGGCCAUCCCGGCUUACCAACCCGAUGCAAACUGCGAAUACCGGAGAAUGUUAUCACGGGAGACACACGGCGGGUGCUAACGUCCGUCGUGAAGAGGGAAACAACCCAGACCGCCAGCUAAGGUCCCAAAGUCAUGGUUAAGUGGGAAACGAUGUGGGAAGGCCCAGACAGCCAGGAUGUUGGCUUAGAAGCAGCCAUCAUUUAAAGAAAGCGUAAUAGCUCACUGGUCGAGUCGGCCUGCGCGGAAGAUGUAACGGGGCUAAACCAUGCACCGAAGCUGCGGCAGCGACGCUGAUGCGUUGUUGGGUAGGGGAGCGUUCUGUAAGCCUGCGAAGGUGUGUCGUGAGGCAUGCUGGAGGUAUCAGAAGUGCGAAUGCUGACAUAAGUAACGAUAAAGCGGGUGAAAAGCCCGCUCGCCGGAAGACCAAGGGUUCCUGUCCAACGUUAAUCGGGGCAGGGUGAGUCGACCCCUAAGGCGAGGCCGAAAGGCGUAGUCGAUGGGAAACGGGUUAAUAUUCCCGUACUUGGUGUUACUGCGAAGGGGGGACGGAGAAGGCUAUGUUGGCCGGGCGACGGUUGUCCCGGUUUAAGCGUGUAGGUGUGUGUUCCAGGUAAAUCCGGUUCACUUUAACACUGAGGCGUGAUGACGAGGCACUACGGUGCUGAAGCAACAAAUGCCCUGCUUCCAGGAAAAGCCUCUAAGCAUCAGGUAACAUCAAAUCGUACCCCAAACCGACACAGGUGGUCAGGUAGAGAAUACCAAGGCGCUUGAGAGAACUCGGGUGAAGGAACUAGGCAAAAUGGUGCCGUAACUUCGGGAGAAGGCACGCUGACACGUAGGUGAAGUGAUUUACUCAUGGAGCUGAAGUCAGUCGAAGAUACCAGCUGGCUGCAACUGUUUAUUAAAAACACAGCACUGUGCAAACACGAAAGUGGACGUAUACGGUGUGACGCCUGCCCGGUGCCGGAAGGUUAAUUGAUGGGGUCAGCGCAAGCGAAGCUCCUGAUCGAAGCCCCGGUAAACGGCGGCCGUAACUAUAACGGUCCUAAGGUAGCGAAAUUCCUUGUCGGGUAAGUUCCGACCUGCACGAAUGGCGUAAUGAUGGCCAGGCUGUCUCCACCCGAGACUCAGUGAAAUUGAACUCGCUGUGAAGAUGCAGUGUACCCGCGGCAAGACGGAAAGACCCCGUGAACCUUUACUAUAGCUUGACACUGAACAUUGAGCCUUGAUGUGUAGGAUAGGUGGGAGGCUUUGAAGUGUGGACGCCAGUCUGCAUGGAGCCGGCCUUGAAAUACCACCCUUUAAUGUUUGAUGUUCUAACGUGGACCCGUGAUCCGGGUUGCGGACAGUGUCUGGUGGGUAGUUUGACUGGGGCGGUCUCCUCCUAAAGAGUAACGGAGGAGCACGAAGGUUGGCUAAUCCUGGUCGGACAUCAGGAGGUUAGUGCAAUGGCAUAAGCCAGCUUGACUGCGAGCGUGACGGCGCGAGCAGGUGCGAAAGCAGGUCAUAGUGAUCCGGUGGUUCUGAAUGGAAGGGCCAUCGCUCAACGGAUAAAAGGUACUCCGGGGAUAACAGGCUGAUACCGCCCAAGAGUUCAUAUCGACGGCGGUGUUUGGCACCUCGAUGUCGGCUCAUCACAUCCUGGGGCUGAAGUAGGUCCCAAGGGUAUGGCUGUUCGCCAUUUAAAGUGGUACGCGAGCUGGGUUUAGAACGUCGUGAGACAGUUCGGUCCCUAUCUGCCGUGGGCGCUGGAGAACUGAGGGGGGCUGCUCCUAGUACGAGAGGACCGGAGUGGACGCAUCACUGGUGUUCGGGUUGUCAUGCCAAUGGCACUGCCCGGUAGCUAAAUGCGGAAGAGAUAAGUGCUGAAAGCAUCUAAGCACGAAACUUGCCCCGAGAUGAGUUCUCCCUGAGACUUAGAGUCUCCUGAAGGAACGUUGAAGACGACGACGUUGAUAGGCCGGGUGUGUAAGCGCAGCGAUGCGUUGAGCUAACCGGUACUAAUGAACCGUGAGGCUUAACCUU
rnacentral:rRNA from 1 species